UCGAGCGCACUGGCCCAACUGAUCUGACGUGCUUGCACUGAAGUGACGAUGGAUUACCAGUGAGCGGCGGACGGGUGAGUAACACGUGGGCAACCUGCCCUGAAGCGGGGGAUAACAUUUGGAAACAGGUGCUAAUACCGCAUAACAACGAAAACCACAUGGUUUUCGUUUCAAAGAUGGUUUCGGCUAUCACUUCAGGAUGGGCCCGCGGUGCAUUAGCUUGUUGGUAGGGUAACGGCCUACCAAGGCAAUGAUGCAUAGCCGAGUUGAGAGACUGAUCGGCCACAAUGGAACUGAGACACGGUCCAUACUCCUACGGGAGGCAGCAGUAGGGAAUCUUCCACAAUGGGCGCAAGCCUGAUGGAGCGACACCGCGUGAGUGAAGAAGGGUUUCGGCUCGUAAAGCUCUGUUGUUGAAGAAGAACGUGCGUGAGAGUAACUGUUCACGCAGUGACGGUAUUCAACCAGAAAGUCACGGCUAACUACGUGCCAGCAGCCGCGGUAAUACGUAGGUGGCAAGCGUUAUCCGGAUUUAUUGGGCGUAAAGCGAGCGCAGGCGGUUGCUUAAGUCUGAUGUGAAAGCCUUCGGCUUAACCGAAGAAGUGCAUCGGAAACUGACCGACUUGAGUGCAGAAGAGGACAGUGGAACUCCAUGUGUAGCGGUGGAAUGCGUA
rnacentral:rRNA from 1 species